GACGAACGCUGGCGGCGUGCUUAACACAUGCAAGUCGAACGGAAAGGCCCUGCUUUUUUGCGGUGCUCGAGUGGCGAACGGGUGAGUAACACGUGAGUAACCUGCCCUUGACUUUGGGAUAACUUCAUGAAACUUGGGCUAAUACCGGAUAGGAGCUCCUGCUUCAUGGUGGGGGUUGGAAAGUUUCGGCGGUUGGGGAUGGACUCGCGGCUUAUCAGCUUGUUGGUUGGGUAGUGGCUUACCAAGGCUUUGACGGGUAGCCGGCCUGAGAGGGUGACCGGCCACAUUGCGACUGAGAUGCGGCACAGCCUACUACGGGAGGCAGGAGUGGGGAGUAGUGCACUAUGGGCGGAAGCAUGAUGCAGCCCAGCCGCGUGGGGGAUGACGGCCAUCGGGUUGUAAACCGCUUUCGCCUGUGACGAGGCGAGAGUGACGGUAAUGGGUAAAGAAGCACCGGCUAACUACGUG
rnacentral:rRNA from 1 species